UAUACAAAAGUAUAUGAGGUACUUAGGCUUUUGAUGUCUAAAGAGUCAGUUUAAAUCUGAUUUGUAUAA
rnacentral:tRNA from 1 species